UACGAAGGGGGCUAGCGUUGCUCGGAAUCACUGGGCGUAAAGGGUGCGUAGGCGGGUCUUUAAGUCAGGGGUGAAAUCCUGGAGCUCAACUCCAGAACUGCCUUUGAUACUGAGGAUCUUGAGUUCGGGAGAGGUGAGUGGAACUGCGAGUGUAGAGGUGAAAUUCGUAGAUAUUCGCAAGAACACCAGUGGCGAAGGCGCUCACUGGCCCGAUACUGACGCUGAGGAGCGAAAAGCGUGGGGGAGCGAACAGGA
rnacentral:rRNA from 1 species